AUUGAACGCUGGCGGCAUGCCUUACACAUGCAAGUCGAACGGCAGCACGGGAGCAAUCCUGGUGGCGAGUGGCGAACGGGUGAGUAAUAUAUCGGAACGUGCCCAGUCGUGGGGAUAACGUAGCGAAAGCUACGCUAAUACCGCAUACGAUCUAUGGAUGAAAGCGGGGGAUCGCAAGACCUCGCGCGAUUGGAGCGGCCGAUAUCAGAUUAGGUAGUUGGUGAGGUAAAGGCUCGCCAAGCCGACGAUCUGUAGCUGGUCUGAGAGGACGACCAGCCACACUGGGACUGAGACACGGCCCAGACUCCUACGGGAGGCAGCAGUGGGGAAUUUUUGGACAAUGGGCGCAAGCCUGAUCCAGCAAUGCCGCGUGCAGGAUGAAGGCCUUCGGUUGUAAC
rnacentral:rRNA from 1 species